rnacentral:lncRNA from 10 species
GCAUCCAGCCUGCAGACAAGGGAAGGGAAAGGGUGGAAACUUGCACAGGAAUUUUCCGUCAGCCAGUCCAAGAGGAGCAUUUUUCACCUCCCCCCGUAUUUCAUUGAUUAAAAUUCAGCCAUGUGGCUCCAUUUACGCGAGGGAGUGGGGCAGCCUGGGGAAGAUGUUUCUCAGCAACAGUGCUACCCUGCUGGACAGCUGGUGAUUUUUACCAUAAAACAAGAUAGUAAUAAGGAUAGAAUGAGACACCACCGGCUUUGCUCCAUCCCUUUGGGAAGACAGCACACCCAGAGCUCAAGUCUGCUGCUCAUUCUGGAAGGGGAGAUGUCCUGGGCCCAGGGUUUGGAAAUGUCUUCUUGGACAAGCUUAAGCCGUCUCAUUGAAGAUUUUCAAUGGCCUUUCGGAAUUACGGGACUUACCCAGCUCUGCCAGGUUUAUUAAUCCAGCCUAUAAGCUUCUCUAGACCUAGGACUAUGGUGCCUGCACAGAAGAUGUGCUCAACAUAUAACUGAUUAAAUAACUUAAUGAGUAAAUGAAGGACUGGACUCGUUUGUGGGCCAUAUUUGGAGGUGACUUUGUAAACUCUAACAGCAUGGGAUUUUAAUAAGCUGUCUUCAUAGCUUGGACCAUGGGCUUAGGACAGUGUUGGGUACGUUAUUGAUGAUCAAGGAAUACUGAAGAGCUGUUUUCCUAUUUUGGUGCAGAUGUGGAGAGAGGAUUGCUUGAGACUCUUCCCAGCUCUUGAGAUUCCAUGUAGGUUGUGAACACUGAGGAGUGUGUGGAGCUUAUGUCUGAACUUCACCUCUCUAAUGUGACCAUCCCUGAAAUGAAAAGAAAACCAGUGCUAAAUGGAAAUACCUUCUUUCUUUCCCUCCCACAGCUCGUGCAUAUCUCUUCUACACUCAAUCAGCAUCUCUAGAGGAGGUGCCAGCUCUCUCAACAAGUAAUUCCUUUUGGCCCCAUCACAGAAGGGAAGUACAAUCAACAGCAAUGAAGCUUCUUUAUUCCUUGCUAAUUUAGUGCCACGACACAUGAUAUGCACAGCUUUGUGAGUGGGAGGGUUUCAAAGCAGGAAGCUUUGGAUCUGACUUAGGGAGGCUGGUUAUCCACUUACGAUACUUGACUUAGCAGAAGCCAGUCUUUGUGAAAGCUGUUAUGGGGCCCCCUGCUGGCAUUGUGACAUGGAGACACUUCAUCUUCAGUGAACCUACAGUUCCCUCUGGGAAGCUUCAAGUUCAACAGGGCUGUGGACUUGCAGAGAUUCUUGCUGUAGGCUAGGAAAGUAGAUUGUAGUACUAGUACUACUGCUAGUACUACGUUUUCUACUAUCUUUGGGUUUCUUGGGCCACUUUGAAACUCUAACCACAGUGUUUUCAAACUUGCAAUGGUAAAAUGCAUUGUAAAUAAAAAUUUUAACUU